rnacentral:rRNA from 1 species
GACGAACGCUGGCGGCGUGCUUAACACAUGCAAGUCGAACGGUAAGGCCCUUCGGGGUACACGAGUGGCGAACGGGUGAGUAACACGUGGGUGAUCUGCCCUGCACUUCGGGAUAAGCCUGGGAAACUGGGUCUAAUACCGGAUAGGACUCCGGACUGCAUGGUCUGGGGUGGAAAGCUUUUGCGGUGUGGGAUGGGCCCGCGGCCUAUCAGCUUGCUGGUGGGGUGAUGGCCUACCAAGGCGACGACGGGUAGCCGGCCUGAGAGGGUGACCGGCCACACUGGGACUGAGAUACGGCCCAGACUCCUACGGGAGGCAGCAGUGGGGAAUAUUGCACAGUGGGCGCAAGCCUGAUGCAGCGACGCCGCGUGAGGGAUGACGGCCUUCGGGUUGUAAACCUCUUUCAGCAUCGACGAAGCGAAAGUGACGGUAGGUGCAGAAGAAGGACCGGCCAACUACGUGCCAGCCGCCGCAGUAA